rnacentral:rRNA from 1 species
UGGAAGGCAGCAGUGGGGAAUAUUGCACAAUGGGCGCAAGCCUGAUGCAGCCAUGCCGCGUGUAUGAAAAAGGCCUUCGGGUUGUAAAGUACUUUCAGUCGUGAGGAAGGUGUUAAGGUUAAUAACCUUAGCAAUUGACGUUAGCGACAGAAGAAGCACCGGCUAACUCCGUGCCAGCAGCCGCGGUAAUACGGAGGGUGCGAGCGUUAAUCGGAAUUACUGGGCGUAAAGGGCACGCAGGCGGUUAAUUAAGUUGGAUGUGAAAUCCCCGGGCUUAACCUGGGAAUGGCAUUCAAGACUGGUUAGCUAGAGUCUUGUAGAGGGGGUUAGAAUUCCAUGUAUAGCGGUGAAAUGCGUAGAGAUGUGGAGGAAUACCGGUGGCGAAGGCGGCCCCUGGACAAAGACUGACGCUCAUGUGCGAAAGCUGGGGAGCAAACAGGGAUUAGAUACC